rnacentral:rRNA from 1 species
CCUACGGGCGGCAGCAGUGGGGAAUAUUGGACAAUGGGCGGAAGCCUGAUCCAGCCAUGCCGCGUGUGUGAAGAAGGCCUUCGGGUUGUAAAGCACUUUCAGUGGGGAAGAAAGCCUUGGGGCUAAUACCCUCGAGGAAGGACAUCACCCACAGAAGAAGCACCGGCUAACUCCGUGCCAGCAGCCGCGGUAAUACGGAGGGUGCGAGCGUUAAUCGGAAUUACUGGGCGUAAAGCGCGCGUAGGCGGUCUGAUAAGCCGGUUGUGAAAGCCCCGGGCUCAACCUGGGAACGGCAUCCGGAACUGUCAGGCUAGAGUGCAGGAGAGGAAGGUAGAAUUCCCGGUGUAGCGGUGAAAUGCGUAGAGAUCGGGAGGAAUACCAGUGGCGAAGGCGGCCUUCUGGACUGACACUGACGCUGAGGUGCGAAAGCGUGGGUAGCAAACAGGAUUAGAUACCCGAGUAGUC